rnacentral:rRNA from 1 species
AAACCGGAGCUAAUACCGAUAAUAUAUUGAACCGCAUGGUUCAAUAGUGAAAGACGGUUUUGCUGUCACUUAUAGAUGGAUCCGCGCCGCAUUAGCUAGUUGGUAAGGUAACGGCUUACCAAGGCAACGAUGCGUAGCCGACCUGAGAGGGUGAUCGGCCACACUGGAACUGAGACACGGUCCAGACUCCCUACGGGAGGCAGCAGUA